GUAGGGGUUAGUCUUGGAGGCCAUAAGCUUUCCUAAAGAGAUGGGUUUUAAGGCACUUCUUAAAAGAUGCAAGACUAGGGGAGAGUCUGAUGGCGGUAGGCAGGCUAUUCCAUAGGAAGUGAGCUGCCCGCGAGAAGUCCUGCAAGUGCGAGUUGGCCGUACGGGUGCGGACAACGGACAGGAGGUGGUCACGGGAAGAGCGGAGAGACCGAGAAGGGACUAACUCACACCAGGGCUUUAUAGGUGUGAGUUAGUGCCUUGAAUUGACUCCUAUAGCACACAGGAAGCCAAUGUAGGGACUGGCAGAGGGGUGAGGUGUGAGAGAACCGACUAGAGAG